GUUGCCGAGACGACGGGGGCGGGGCGAGCCGUGGACCAGACCCGGCGGGAGCGCUGCUGGAGAACGGGAAUAGGGACUUUGAGGGUCCACGCGAGCAUACCUUGCAGGAAAUAGAUGGGCGACCUGAAGCACAGAGAGACUGAACAAUGCGCUGUGCAUCACACAGUUCAUAGAGGCUUCCACAUGGCUUUGUCCUGCCAGCUCCAUUAAGCAUCUGAACAAAAAGUGACAGAACGUUCAAACCCGUGUUUGCAUUUGGAGGCAGGAAGACAGAUGGCGCUAUCUCCUUCGUACGGAAGUCACCAUCUCCCAAGGUGUUUGAGCAGAGGCAGGGUGACUUUCACACUCUUGCAGUUCCUUACAAAGACUUUUCUUCUUUUUCAUAAAAUAAAAGAUUUUAAAUCCUUA